UAAGAGAAGAAAAUAAGUGCAACAUGCCAGAAAUCCAGUAAAGCAGUUCAAGUAUCAGAAGAGCGUGAAUCAAAACCAAGUGCAAGAAGAGGCACCUUGACAUUGAACUGAAGGCCACCAGGUACUCACUGGGUCAAUGACUCUUCUCAUUUUUAUGUCUCCUGCCAGUGCUUCCAAUCGCUGAACUGAACUGGGAACAAAUCAACAAGGGAAACCAAGAGAUGCAUUCCUUGAAGUUCAG
rnacentral:lncRNA from 1 species